UGAGGAACAUGACCUUCGGCGGGGGAUAGCCGGCCCAACGGCCGGGUAAUACCGCGUACGACCACAUGGGGACAUCCCUGAGUGGUGAAAGCAGCAAUGCGCCGAUGGAGCGCCUCGCGGCCUAUCAGCUAGUUGGUGAGGUAACGGCUCACCAAGGCGACGACGGGUAGCUGGUCUGAGAGGAUGGCCAGCCACAUUGGGACUGAGACACGGCCCAGACCUNUACCGGGAGG
rnacentral:rRNA from 1 species